rnacentral:rRNA from 1 species
AACGAACGCUGGCGGCAGGCCUAACACAUGCAAGUCGAACGCCCCGCAAGGGGAGUGGCGCACGGGUGAGUAACGCGUGGGAAUAUGCCCUUCGGUUCGGAAUAACACAGGGAAACUUGUGCUAAUACCGGAUACGAUCUACGGAUGAAAGAUUUAUCGCCGAGGGAGUAGCCCGCGUAGGAUUAGCUAGUUGGUGAGGUAAUGGCUCACCAAGGCGACGAUCCUUAGCUGGUCUGAGAGGAUGAUCAGCCACACUGGGACUGAGACACGGCCCAGACUCCUACGGGAGGCAGCAGUGGGGAAUAUUGGACAAUGGGCGAAAGCCUGAUCCAGCCAUGCCGCGUGAGUGAUGAAGGCCUUAGGGUUGUAAAGCUCUUUCGCCAGGGAAGAUAAUGACGGUACCUAGAAGAGAAGCCUCGGCUAACUCCGUGCCAGCAGCCGCGGUAA